AGUGAACGCUGGCGGCAGGCCUAACACAUGCAAGUCGAACGGCAGCACAGGGGAGCUUGCUCCCUGGGUGGCGAGUGGCGGACGGGUGAGGAAUACAUCGGAAUCUACCCUUUCGUGGGGGAUAACGUAGGGAAACUUACGCUAAUACCGCAUACGAUCUGAGGAUGAAAGCAGGGGACCGCAAGGCCUUGCGCGAUUGGAUGAGCCGAUGUCCGAUUAGCUAGUUGGCGGGGUAAAGGCCCACCAAGGCGACGAUCGGUAGCUGGUCUGAGAGGAUGAUCAGCCACACUGGAACUGAGACACGGUCCAGACUCCUACGGGAGGCAGCAGUGGGGAAUAUUGGACAAUGGGCGCAAGCCUGAUCCAGCAAUGCCGCGUGAGUGAAGAAGGCCUUCGGGUUGUAGAGCUCUUUUGUCAGGGAAGAAACGGGAGUGGCUAAUAUCCAUUCCUAAUGACGGUACCUGAAGAAUAAGCACCGGCUAACUACGUGCCAGCCGCCGCCGUAACAC
rnacentral:rRNA from 1 species